AUUUGCCUUCUCACAAUGACAAGAGAGACAGAAAAAUGUCAGCAGGAAAAGUUCCAGUGUGGCAAUUAAGUUUAUGCUCAUGGAUCCCAUGGGAAGGCUCCUGACUUUUGUGUGCUGUCUUUGGAGACUGGAGCUGGAAGUAAAACCAUACGAGGACAUCAAAACCCCA